rnacentral:rRNA from 1 species
GGAUUGAGAGCUUGCUCUCAAGAAGUUAGCGGCGGACGGGUGAGUAACACGUGGGUAACCUGCCCAUAAGACUGGGAUAACUCCGGGAAACCGGGGCUAAUACCGGAUAACAUUUUGAACUGCAUGGUUCGAAAUUGAAAGGCGGCUUCGGCUGUCACUUAUGGAUGGACCCGCGUCGCAUUAGCUAGUUGGUGAGGUAACGGCUCACCAAGGCAACGAUGCGUAGCCGACCUGAGAGGGUGAUCGGCCACACUGGGACUGAGACACGGCCCAGACUCCUACGGGAGGCAGCAGUAGGGAAUCUUCCGCAAUGGACGAAAGUCUGACGGAGCAACGCCGCGUGAGUGAUGAAGGCUUUCGGGUCGUAAAACUCUGUUGUUAGGGAAGAACAAGUGCUAGUUGAAUAAGCUGGCACCUUGACGGUACCUAACCAGAAAGCCACGGCUAACUACGUGCCAGCAGCCGCGGUAAUACGUAGGUGGCAAGCGUUAUCCGGAAUUAUUGGGCGUAAAGCGCGCGCAGGUGGUUUCUUAAGUCUGAUGUGAAAGCCCACGGCUCAACCGUGGAGGGUCAUUGGAAACUGGGAGACUUGAGUGCAGAAGAGGAAAGUGGAA